GACGAACCGUGCGAACGUUGUUCGGAAUCACUGGGCUUAAAGGGCGCGUAGGCGGAUCAUCAAGUCCGGGGUGAAAGCCUCCAGCUUAACUGGAGAAGUGCCUUGGAUACUGGUGAUCUCGAGGGAGGUAGGGGCAUGCGGAACUUCCGGUGGAGCGGUGAAAUGCGUAGAUAUCUGGAGGAACACCGGUGGCGAAGGCGGCAUCCUGGACCGGUAUUGACGCUGAGGCGCGAAAGCUAGGGGAGCAAACGGG
rnacentral:rRNA from 1 species